CAUAUCCUUUAAUCUCUGGGUCUCCCCCAAACCACUCAGUUCUGAUAGGCAUUAAAUCAUUUGCGUGAUCUCAAGGUUUCAGAGUAAUGAUAGGGAUUUAAAUCAUGUAUACAUGUUUUUUAGCAAAAAAUUCUGUUCAGAUCCCAACAGAAUCAUAGGAUGUUUCUUUAUAUAUGGCUUUAGUUGUUCUGUUCUUGAAGCACGAAUCUUGGAACUUUAAACGGUAUUGAUUUCGUUGAUGUAUCUGUCUGAUCUGCCUUUUUACUUAUUUGAUCCAACGAAGAAGUUGUUUCUGUAUUUGUUCUCAUUGUUGUUGAUGAUCGAUUUUUCUUCGCUGCUUAGGCUUUUUUUGUGUUUAUUAUAUGCUUUUUGUUUGGCUAUUUUAAGUGGUUUGGUAAAGUGCUAGAAUUGGUUUUGGAUUCUUUCAAUUUCUAGGCAUGCUUUGUAGUUCUUGCAGUAAUGCACAUAUAUUUCAACCAUUCUACUUAGAAAUGAAUCUGUUAUCAUUGGCAAUAGGAAAAAAGAUUUUCAUUCAAGCUGUGUGGAGUCAAGGCUGACUAAGUGGGGGACAUUUUUCCCUGUAUGCAAACUCGAUAUGAUAACCAAAACCACGUUUCUGUUGUGCAAGUGUGUCUUCUUUUCUUAACAGGUUUACCGUGAAUAAAACGGUGGAUUGAGACCAAAAGUUGAAUGAAUGAUCUGUAAUAGUCCACAUUCUUGUUUAAAAUGCUAGAUGAAUCUUGAAGAUACACUGAGUUUGAAUGCCAAAUUUGUGAGAAAAUAACUUGAGUUAUUCUUUAUGCCCUAGGCUAAGCAUUUGGAUAAAGAAGUGCAUUAACUAAGACCCUUAAUGGAAGAAGAUAGUUUUCAGUUGGAUUAAUUGGUUCUUUUAUUUUAUUUUUUUUACUUUAGUUAUAUCAUAUUAGUUUCUUCAUCUUUUUAUUUCUAUGGGUCAUUGUGCUAUUAUGGAGAUCUACUGUUUGGCCUUUCGAGGAGGAGAAUGUGCGUAUGUAUAAUGUAUUUUUCUUUUUUAUGACCAUUGGAUCUAGUUCUUUCUAGAAUUUCAGCAUGCUCUAGUUCCCUCUAUUUAAGUACAAUACCUCCAUUAAGAGUCUUCCAACGUUGAUUAAGCUUUAUUGGGCACCUUUUCCUUCGGUUUGCCUUGAUAAAUUCUACCCAAGAAAUACAAAAAGAGGCGGGGAGAUUAGGUUGAACGCAACAGAAUGAGCCUUCAGCUAUUUGAAAUCACUAUGGAUUGGAUGGUAUCCCAACCAAGUUUCUAAGGCCCUCUACGAUGCCAAGGUGCAACCAACAACCUUGAUACAGAAGCAAGUGGGAAACAUGUAUACUGCAUCUCUUUAUGCCGCCUUUGCUUCCCUUUUUCACAACAAAAACAGUGAACUGGGUGGUGAGAAGCUGAGUUAUAAGAUUGUUGCUCUUGCAAUGAUGUUAUGGGGUAAUCGCACUUCUCAGUUUUCACUUUUUAACUCGAGCUAUUUCAGAAUUGGCUAGUUGUAUGAGCUGCACAAUAUAUGCGUUCAUUAAGUUUUGGAAUGAUCUUGCAACUCUUACGUUUGAGGACAAGAAAGUCGAAGCAGAAGCGAGAGGAACAACAUAUCAAGGAAAAUAUAGACUUCCAAAAUCAACUUCAAG